rnacentral:rRNA from 1 species
GAGAAUCCUAAGGUGAUCGAGAGAACUCUCGUUAAGGAACUCGGCAAAAUGACCCCGUAACUUCGGGAGAAGGGGUGCUCUGGUAGGGUGUUAAAGCCCGAGAGAGCCGCAGUGAAUAGGCCCAGGCGACUGUUUAGCAAAAACACAGGUCUCUGCAAAACCGCAAGGUGAAGUAUAGGGGCUGACGCCUGCCCGGUGCUGGAAGGUUAAGAGGAGAGGUCAGCGCAAGCGAAGCUUCGAAUUGAAGCCCCAGUAAACGGCGGCCGUAACGAUAACGGUCCUAAGGUAGCGAAAUUCCUUGUCGGGUAAGUUCCGACCCGCACGAAAGGCGUAACGAUCUGGGCACUGUCUCAACGAGAGACUCGGUGAAAUUAUAAUACCUGUGAAGAUGCAGGUUACCCGCGACAGGACGGAAAGACCCCGUGGAGCUUUACUGUAACCUGAUAUUGAAUUCCGGUGCAGCCUGUACAGGAUAGGUAGGAGCCUUGGAUUCCGGAGCGCUAGCUUCGGAUGAGGCGUUGGUGGGAUACUACCCUGGCUGUAUUGGACUUCUAACCCAUGCCCCUUAUCGGGGCAGGAGACAGUGUCAGGCGGGCAGUUUGACUGGGGCGGUCGCCUCCUAAAGAGUAACGGAGGCGCCCAAAGGUUCCCUCAGAAUGGUUGGACAUCAUUCGUAGAGUGCAAAGGCAUAAGGGAGCUUGACUGCGAGACCUACAAGUCGAGCAGGGUCGAAAGACGGGCUUAGUGAUCCGGUGGUUCCGCAUGGAAGGGCCAUCGCUCAACGGAUAAAAGCUACCCCGGGGAUAACAGGCUUAUCUCCCCCAAGAGUCCACAUCGACGGGGAGGUUUGGCACCUCGAUGUCGGCUCAUCGCAUCCUGGGGCUGUAGUCGGUCCCAAGGGUUGGGCUGUUCGCCCAUUAAAGCGGUACGCGAGCUGGGUUCAGAACGUCGUGAGACAGUUCGGUCCCUAUCCGUCGCGGGCGCAGGAAAUUUGAGAGGAGCUGUCCUUAGUACGAGAGGACCGGGAUGGACAUACCUCUGGUGUACCAGUUGUCUUGCCAAAGGCAUCGCUGGGUAGCUAUGUAUGGACGGGAUAAAUGCUGAAAGCAUCUAAGCAUGAAGCCCCCCUCGAGAUGAGAUUUCCCAUUACGCAAGUAAGUAAGAUCCCUCAAAGAAGAUGAGGUUGAUAGGUCUGGGGUGGAAGCACGGCGACGUGUGGAGCUGACGGAUACUAAUCGAUCGAGGACUUAACC